UAAUCAUUAUUAUAAUAGUAUUUCUAAUUUUCAUUUAGAAGGUUUAUGAUUAU
rnacentral:tRNA from 2 species